AAAUUGAAGAGUUUGAUCAUGGCUCAGAUUGAACGCUGGCGGCAGGCCUAACACAUGCAAGUCGAGCGGUAGCACAGAGAGCUUGCUCUCGGGUGACGAGCGGCGGACGGGUGAGUAAUGUCUGGGAAACUGCCUGAUGGAGGGGGAUAACUACUGGAAACGGUAGCUAAUACCGCAUAACGUCGCAAGACCAAAGUGGGGGACCUUCGGGCCUCAUGCCAUCAGAUUUGCCCAGAUGGGAUUAGCUAGUAGGUGGGGUAAUGGCUCACCUAGGCGACGAUCCCUAGCUGGUCUGAGAGGAUGACCAGCCACACUGGAACUGAGACACGGUCCAGACUCCUACGGGAGGCAGCAGUGGGGAAUAUUGCACAAUGGGCGCAAGCCUGAUGCAGCCAUGCCGCGUGUAUGAAGAAGGCCUUCGGGUUGUAAAGUACUUUCAGCGAGGAGGAAGGCGUUAAGGUUAAUAACCUUGGCGAUUGACGUUACUCGCAGAAGAAGCACCGGCUAACUCCGUGCCAGCAGCCGCGGUAAUACGGAGGGUGCAAGCGUUAAUCGGAAUUACUGGGCGUAAAGCGCACGCAGGCGGUCUGUCAAGUCGGAUGUGAAAUCCCCGGGCUCAACCUGGGAACUGCAUUCGAAACUGGCAGGCUAGAGUCUUGUAGAGGGGGGUAGAAUUCCAGGUGUAGCGGUGAAAUGCGUAGAGAUCUGGAGGAAUACCGGUGGCGAAGGCGGCCCCCUGGACAAAGACUGACGCUCAGGUGCGAAAGCGUGGGGAGCAAACAGGAUUAGAUACCCUGGUAGUCCACGCCGUAAACGAUGUCGACUUGGAGGUUGUGCCCUUGAGGCGUGGCUUCCGGAGCUAACGCGUUAAGUCGACCGCCUGGGGAGUACGGCCGCAAGGUUAAAACUCAAAUGAAUUGACGGGGGCCCGCACAAGCGGUGGAGCAUGUGGUUUAAUUCGAUGCAACGCGAAGAACCUUACCUACUCUUGACAUCCAGAGAACUUAGCAGAGAUGCUUUGGUGCCUUCGGGAACUCUGAGACAGGUGCUGCAUGGCUGUCGUCAGCUCGUGUUGUGAAAUGUUGGGUUAAGUCCCGCAACGAGCGCAACCCUUAUCCUUUGUUGCCAGCGAUUCGGUCGGGAACUCAAAGGAGACUGCCAGUGAUAAACUGGAGGAAGGUGGGGAUGACGUCAAGUCAUCAUGGCCCUUACGAGUAGGGCUACACACGUGCUACAAUGGCAUAUACAAAGAGAAGCGACCUCGCGAGAGCAAGCGGACCUCAUAAAGUAUGUCGUAGUCCGGAUUGGAGUCUGCAACUCGACUCCAUGAAGUCGGAAUCGCUAGUAAUCGUAGAUCAGAAUGCUACGGUGAAUACGUUCCCGGGCCUUGUACACACCGCCCGUCACACCAUGGGAGUGGGUUGCAAAAGAAGUAGGUAGCUUAACCUUCGGGAGGGCGCUUACCACUUUGUGAUUCAUGACUGGGGUGAAGUCGUAACAAGGUAACCGUAGGGGAACCUGCGGUUGGAUCACCUCCUUACCUUAAAGAA
rnacentral:rRNA from 1 species